rnacentral:rRNA from 2 species
GCCAUGCAUGUCUCAGUACAUGCCUAAUUAAGGUGAAACCGCGAAUGGCUCAUUAAAUCAGUUAUGGUUCCUUAGAUCGUACCCACAUUUACUUGGAUAACUGUGGUAAUUCUAGAGCUAAUACAUGCAAACUAGAAUUCCGACCAGAGAUGGAAGGAAUGCUUUUAUUAGAUCAAAACCAAUCGGUGGUAUAUAAUUUAUUAUAUAUCCAUCGUUAAUUUUGAUGACUCUGAAUAACUUUGUGCUGAUCGCAUGGUCUUGUACCGGCGACGAAUCUUUCAAAUGUCUGCCUUAUCAACUGUCGAUGGUAGGUUCUGCGCCUACCAUGGUUGUAACGGGUAACGGGGAAUCAGGGUUCGAUUCCGGAGAGGGAGCCUGAGAAACGGCUACCACAUCCAAGGAAGGCAGCAGGCGCGCAAAUUACCCACUCCCGGCACGGGGAGGUAGUGACGAAAAAUAACGAUACGGGACUCAUCCGAGGCCCCGUAAUCGGAAUGAGUACACUUUAAAUCCUUUAACGAGGAUCCAUUGGAGGGCAAGUCUGGUGCCAGCAGCCGCGGUAAUUCCAGCUCCAAUAGCGUAUAUUAAAGUUGUUGCGGUUAAAAAGCUCGUAGUUGAAUUUGUGUGCCACGCUGUCGGUUCAUCGCUCGCGAUGUUUAACUGGCAUGAUUGUGGGACGUCCUGCCGGUGGAUUUAGCUUUAUAUAUUUUCGAAUAUAUUUAGCGAUCCAGUUUAUAUCCCGUCGCGGUGCUCUUUAUUGAGUGUCGAGGUGGGCCGGUACGUUUACUUUGAACAAAUUAGAGUGCUUAAAGCAGGCUUUUUUUGCCUGAAUACUGUGUGCAUGGAAUAAUAGAAUAGGACCUCGGUUCUAUUUUGUUGGUUUUCGGAACCCCGAGGUAAUGAUUAAUAGGGACAGAUG